GAGAGAUCCGGCAUAGGAUGGACAUGCGUCGCAUUAGGUAGACGGCGGGGUAACGGCCCACCGUGCCGACGAUGCGUAGGGGUUCUGAGAGGAAGGCCCCCCACACUGGUACUGAGACACGGACCAGACUCCUACGGGAGGCAGCAGUGAGGAAUAUUGGUCAAUGGCCGAGAGGCUGAACCAGCCAAGUCGCGUGAGGGAAGAAUGUCCUAAGGAUUGUAAACCUCUUUUGUCGGGGAGCAAAAAGGCUCUGCGGAGUCGUAUUGAGAGUACCCGAAGAAAAAGCAUCGGCUAACUCCGUGCCAGCAGCCGCGGUAAUACGGAGGAUGCGAGCGUUAUCCGGAUUUAUUGGGUUUAAAGGGUGCGCAGGCGGCGUGUCAAGCAAGCGGUAAAAUAGCGGGGCUCAACCCCGUCGAGCCGUUUGAACUGGCGCGCUUGAGUUCAGGCGAGGUAGGCGGAAUUCGUGGUGUAGCGGUGAAAUGCAUAGAUAUCACGAAGAACUCCGAUUGCGAAGGCAGCUUACCAGUCUGCGACUGACGCUCAGGCACGAAAGUGUGGGUAUCGAACAGGAUUAGAUACCCUGGUAGUCCACACAGUAAACGAUGAGCGCUAGGUGUCCGGGUCGCAUGAGACUUGG
rnacentral:rRNA from 1 species